UUCAAAUGAUGAUGAAAUCAAGGCUUGUUUCUCAACACAUUCGUAGGUGCCGCCUAAGAGCUUUUUCCCUGCCAUGCUUGAGAGUUAUUGCUGCUAGAUGCUUCUAUCGAUGUCUUACGCA